CAAGAGAGAGAACACCAACCUCUCCUGAUUCCCCCCCAAAACCUCCAAACCCUCCCAACUCCCAUUCCCAUCCAACACGCCAGGGGUGCGCAGGUUAAGCUAUCCGCUCCAAAGAGGCGCAGUUUAAGCUCCCCUCUCACCUCGAUUCAUCUAUCUGUAAGAGACAAAAGAACAGCCAUGGCUGCUCAGACUGCCGUCGCAGAAACCGACGAUGACUAUUCGGCGCUGAAAGACGUCAGGAUAGGCCUCGACCGAGUCGAAGGUCCCUUCUCUCUCUGCCUUUGGAUUUAUCUAUCCGAACCUGUCUGCCCGCUAGCAACGAUUAUUCAGCAGAUGCAUCCGGACAUAAAAGGUGACAUUCCCUUUCUUGUCUUGAACAAGGAGAAGAAGAUAACACUCUUUCCAUUGUUGUUCCUGCAUGAAGAAGCUCCCCGUUCUCCUGCUUCCUGGACCAACGUGCCAUGUUUAUCUGCAGAAAUUGAGUGCCCACUUACUAAAUGGGUUCAUGUUGGAUGUGAGGUGGCUACAAACAUCAUGCGCCUUUACAUUGACGGAGUGUUGGUCAGAGAGACACAUCUGUCUCACUCAGCAAAGAAUGAGUCUUAUCAGGAUGAUUUACGGAGAAUUACUUUGGCUGGUGGUGGUGGAGGCGACAAGAGACUUCAGGGCUAUGUGCAUGAUCUUCGAGUCUUGCCUAAAUCAUCAUCUAUUGCAGACCACUUUGUAAAGAACCCACCGCUAGAACUAUCUAUUGAUAGUUCAUGUAUCUCUGAAAAGCAUGAGAUUGAAGAAGGUGACGAUGGCGUUUGGAGCGUUGUUGGGGGCAAGGCAUCUUGUCGCAGGAAUUUCUCCCUGGAUGUCAUUUUACUAGAUGCCCUUGGUCGUUCUGUACACAAGGAAAUUGAGCUUGUUGCUUCACUUGUAUACGCCGACAAUGGAGCGCCAGUGGAGAAGCCAAAGGAGGAAGCUGAAGCUCCUCUUCUGACAAGCUACGAUGGAGUUGAAUUGCCUUCAACUGACCGACCCAUCAAACUUCUUCAUGGCCGUGCAUCCUUUAAGCUCAAAAUAUCUCAGCUUUCUUCCAAAUGUGACAACAGGCUAUUUCGUGUACAUUUUGAGCCUCUUGACUCACCAUCCACUGAAAGAUAUCCUUUUCUUGAAGCAUUCUCCCGUCAGAUUCGUUGCAUAUCUAGGAACCGUAAUAGCCGGACAUCUUCUGUAUUAUGGAAAAGGCCGACAUCCACAGCACACCAACUUGAUGGACCUCAGUCAUCAGGAGCAGAUGAGGGAUCCCCUGAAACACAACAUCACAAUAGAGAUGGCCACUUACAGAUCUUGAGUCAGCGGAUGUCAAAGUACAGCCCCCCUCCAAAACGUGUUAAAGUGGGAAAUGAAAAAUCAUCAAUUAGGAUCUACGCUAACACUGUUCCGGAACAUCUAGACAAUGCGUACAGCUCUCGUUGCCUAACUGCUAAGGAGGAUGGGAAUGGAUUCGGAGUGGGUUUGGAGGGGAAACCUGAAAACCUCGAAAGGACAGACAGCAUUCCAUCUGAUUCCGAGAGUGUUCAUGCCAGAAACUCGGCUUUCAGAGGGAUGGCAGAUACUAGAAAGCCCAUCUCAGAUUUUUCAGUUUUCAAAUAUUGUCUAGAAGGCAUGGAUGAGCGUGCUCUAUUACUAAGAGAGAUUGUAGCUACUGCUAGUGACCAAGAUAUGGCAGACUUUGCACAGCAGGUUUCCUUGUACACGGGUUGUUUUCAUCAUCGGCACCAGAUAUUGAUUGCAAAGGGACUGGUCCAAGAAGGAAUAGACACUUGGAACGCAAUUCCACGAAGCAACAACCAAGUUCUUUGGAAAAGUGCAGCCCGGGAAAUUGAAAAGAAAUUCAUGAAAAUUUCUAGUUGCUCUAGUAGAAGUCUAUCUGGACAGGACAUGGAGCUUUUGCAAAGAAUUGCCAGGUGCCAGGACAAGAUCACUCGUGAGAAUUUUGAUAAGAUGUGGCAUUGGUUGUAUCCCAUAGCUUUUGCUUUGUCGAGGGAUCAGAUCAAAGCGGUCUGGGAAUGCACAUCACCCAAGUGGAUAGAAGGGUUGAUUACAAAGGAAGAUGCAGAAGCUUCAAUUACUGGUCCAAUAGGGCUCCAAAGACCGGGAACUUUUGUACUUAGGUUUCCUACGUCACGGAGCUGGCCUCACCCAGAUUCUGGCAGCCUGGUUGUCACCUAUGUCGGUGCUGAUUACGCUCUUCAUCACAGGAUGCUCUCUCUUGAUGAUAGAGAUUCAGUCUACUUAACUCGCCAUGACAAAAAAUAUUUAAGAUAUUCAAUAUCGGCAUUCAAGACUAGACCAAGUUUAUUCGACUUGACUGGGUUUGAGUUGGAUCGAGUUUUCGCGUAUUUAGACCAUGGCGGAAGGAGGCUUUCCUGAUGAUUUGAAUAGAGAAAUUGAGCAACUGUCCCUCUCUCUCUCAGCGACAGUUAAUAUGACUCUCCCAUCAGAUUCAGAUGAAGGGUUGAAGUCAACUUGAAUGCGAAAUGGCCUUUUCUCAUGAUGGGGAAUCGAUAAAUCAAAUAGAUGGAAACAAAUAGAGAAUCACUUCAAGAUUUGCUAUUGGCAGAACCUGAACUCUCUCAUUUGGGAAGGGUAACAAGACAAGUGACUCAAUUUGUUGGAGAUGAAGUCUAGAUGCAGAUUUUCACUUUGAAAAUAUGAUGUUUGUAGUUUUUUUAAAUUUUAAUCAACAUACUUUUUGUAUAUUGGUUUUCUUCUUGUAUUCAAUUCCUAGAACUGAAAUGUAUUAUUAUUUCUAAUGA